rnacentral:rRNA from 1 species
AGACCCGAAACCCGGUGAUCUAGCCAUGGGCAGGUUGAAGGUUGGGUAACACUAACUGGAGGACCGAACCGACUAAUGUUGAAAAAUUAGCGGAUGACCUGUGGCUGGGGGUGAAAGGCCAAUCAAACCGGGAGAUAGCUGGUUCUCCCCGAAAGCUAUUUAGGUAGCGCCUCGUGAAUUCAUCUCCGGGGGUAGAGCACUGUUUCGGCUAGGGGGCCAUCCCGGCUUACCAACCCGAUGCAAACUGCGAAUACCGGAGAAUGUUAUCACGGGAGACACACGGCGGGUGCUAACGUCCGUCGUGAAGAGGGAAACAACCCAGACCGCCAGCUAAGGUCCCAAAGUCAUGGUUAAGUGGGAAACGAUGUGGGAAGGCCCAGACAGCCAGGAUGUUGGCUUAGAAGCAGCCAUCAUUUAAAGAAAGCGUAAUAGCUCACUGGUCGAGUCGGCCUGCGCGGAAGAUGUAACGGGGCUAAACCAUGCACCGAAGCUGCGGCAGCGACGCUGAUGCGUUGUUGGGUAGGGGAGCGUUCUGUAAGCCUGUGAAGGUGGCCUGUGAGGGUUGCUGGAGGUAUCAGAAGUGCGAAUGCUGACAUAAGUAACGAUAAAGCGGGUGAAAAGCCCGCUCGCCGGAAGACCAAGGGUUCCUGUCCAACGUUAAUCGGGGCAGGGUGAGUCGACCCCUAAGGCGAGGCCGAAAGGCGUAGUCGAUGGGAAACGGGUUAAUAUUCCCGUACUUGGUGUUACUGCGAAGGGGGGACGGAGAAGGCUAUGUUGGCCGGGCGACGGUUGUCCCGGUUUAAGCGUGUAGGUGUGUGUUCCAGGUAAAUCCGGUUCACUUUAACACUGAGGCGUGAUGACGAGGCACUACGGUGCUGAAGCAACAAAUGCCCUGCUUCCAGGAAAAGCCUCUAAGCAUCAGGUAACAUCAAAUCGUACCCCAAACCGACACAGGUGGUCAGGUAGAGAAUACCAAGGCGCUUGAGAGAACUCGGGUGAAGGAACUAGGCAAAAUGGUGCCGUAACUUCGGGAGAAGGCACGCUGACAUGUAGGUGAAGUGAUUUACUCACGGAGCUGAAGUCAGUCGAAGAUACCAGCUGGCUGCAACUGUUUAUUAAAAACACAGC